GGGGAUGUUUUGGUUUUGACAGCAUUGACUCCGGAUGGUAAGCACGUCGUGCGCGUGGCGCGUCAGCACGUAAAUCCCGAUGGCCGUAAAUUCAGUUGCUAACAACAACGUUGCACUCGCUGCGUAAUCAACCAGGUUGAUCACCUUAAUCAGGCCGCCAAGGCUGCGGCACUGACGAGUAUCCCGCAGGCUUUAGGCCGGUUAUGUCCUGAACACGGGGUAUCAUUCAAACCGGAUGCACGGAGGGACUCCUUUAAACUCCGCCAAGCUCCAAAGGAUAAGCCCGGGUCAGCCCGCCUGCCGGCAUUCCCGGGACGAAAACCAAAGGCCGGAUAAACGUGUAGAAAGCCACCUGGUACGGUGUUUGGACGGCGGUUCGAGUCCGCCCAUCUCCAC
rnacentral:tmRNA from 1 species